UACAGAGGGUGCAAGCGUUAAUCGGAUUUACUGGGCGUAAAGCGUGCGUAGGCGGUUCAUUAAGUCGGGUGUGAAAUCCCUGGGCUUAACCUGGGAACUGCAGUCGAUACUGGUGGACUAGAGUACGGUAGAGGGUGGCGGAACUCCGGGUGUAGCGGUGAAAUGCGUAGAUAUCCGGAAGAACACCGAUGGCGAAGGCAACCACCUGGGCCUGUACUGACGCUCAUGCACGAAAGCGUGGGGAGCAAACAGG
rnacentral:rRNA from 1 species